CGGAAACCGAAUCGGUAGCUGGUCUGAGAGGUGAUCAGCCACACUGGGACUGAGACACAAGCCCAGACUCCUACGGGAGGCAGCAGUGGGGAAUAUUGGACAAUGGGGGCAACCCUGAUCCAGCAAUGCCGCGUGUGUGAAGAAGGCCUGAGGGUUGUAAAGCACUUUCAGUGGGGAGGAGGGUUGACAGGUUAAGAGCUAGUUAACUGGACGUUACCCACAGAAGAAGCACCGGCUAACUCCGUGCCAGCAGCCGCGGUAAUACGGAGGGUGCGAGCGUUAAUCGGAAUUACUGGGCGUAAAGGGUGCGUAGGUGGUUUGAUAAGUUAACUGUGAAAGCCCCGGGCUUAACCUGGGAGGGUCAGUUAAGACUGUUGGACUAGAGUAUGGGAGAGGGUAGUGGAAUUUCCGGUGUAGCGGUGAAAUGCGUAGAGAUCGGAAGGAACACCAGUGGCGAAGGCGGCUACCUGGCCUAAUACUGACACUGAGGCACGAAAGCGUGGGGAGCAAACAGGAUUAUAUACCCUGGUAGUCCACGCUGUAAACGAUGUCAACUAGCUGUUGGUCUUAUGAAUGAAAUUAGUGGCGCACCAAACGCGAUAAGUUGA
rnacentral:rRNA from 1 species